GUAGCCCUGUAUGGAGUCUGGCAGCUUGCAGUAGCUGUUGGUUUUAAACAGAGGCAGAAAUGAAGACCUUCCCAUGGUCUGUUGGUUCUCCCCCGCAUCCUCCCAAGGGGAUACCCAAUUCAGUUGGAAGGGACAGCU